rnacentral:lncRNA from 10 species
CUUCAGGAGACAAACAGGAGUCACUGUGGUGAUGCCACUUCCCCUUGUGUUUUAGCCACCACUGGGGUAGUUCCUGCCACAACUGUUGCCCCUGGCCGUUCCAAGACAGAGGCCACCACUUUCCUAGGAGUAAGUGGAACAACAAGUGUUGGAAGAGCCACGGGUGAGUGCUGCUAGACUAAGACCUGUAAUUCCUAAUGACACCUUCAAUAGUCUUCUGAAAAUAUCUACAUGAUUUGUCUAUGCUAUAUUGUGAAAAUUCAGAGAAAAAGACUACACAAUCAUUAUAUUGUCUGCUUAUUUCCUGGGCUUACAGGGGCUCUCAUUAAAGCAUCGUAACGUAAAACCAUGACAGAUAAAUAGGUAAUAUAGGGAGAAAAUUCCAAUUUCCCUGCCAAAAAGAAGGACAUGAUAGUUAGUUGGGAACUGUCUCAGUGAAACUGUGUGGAAAGAAGUAUUGCAUGGACAAAUAUGAAUUACUUCUAGCACUGCAAGUGUCAGAGUAAUAGUUUGCUUCCAAGUGGGGAUUUGAGAUUCCUAUUCAAAUCAGUGGACAAACUGUUGAACUAGUGACACCAUCUCUUUGUUAUUGUAGGUAUUACUAGCGUAGUCUCUGGAAAAACACUGAAAUCUGGAAGCUACAAGACAGGCGAGUCUGAAAAUACAUGCAAAAUCUGGACAUGGGCACCUUGGUUGACAUAGUCUGCCUGCAGCACUGUGUAUGGUCUCCCAAACCUUAAUCUUUGCCUCUUCCUUUCUUUUCUUUCUCAGGCGCCACAACUUCCAUAGUAGGGGGUGACACCAGCCAAGCAGAACGUCCAGGAGGUACAACUGUGGUUUCAGCUCGAGUCAGCAGCAGUUCACAGAGCUCCAGACCAGGUACCUCUGUCACACCAGAGAGCUCAGCAUCUGAAAGUGAAACAGGUGAGGAGGAGAUAGGGUUCCCAUCCACAUUCAGUGUGCUCUAUGGAAAGGGAACCCCAGUAGCAACAGUGAUGGAUAGGUGGGCCAGAACAUGA